rnacentral:rRNA from 1 species
ACGCGAAGAACCUUACCUGGGCUCGAAAUUUUGUUGACAGUCUCAGAGAUGAGAUUUUCCCGCAAGGGACAGCAGAAUAGGUGCUGCAUGGCUGUCGUCAGCUCGUGUCGUGAGAUGUUGGGUUAAGUCCCGCAACGAGCGCAACCCUCACCCUUAGUUGCUCGUCCGCAAGGAAAGCACCCUAAGGGAACUGCCUCGGAUAACGGGGAGGAAGGUGGGGAUGACGUCAAGUCCUCAUGGCCUUUAUGUCCAGGGCUACACACGUGCUACAAUGGCCGGUACAAACCGUCGCUAACCCGCGAGGGGGAGCCAAUCGGAAAAAACCGGUCUCAGUUCGGAUUGCAGGCUGCAACUCGCCUGCAUGAAGCUGGAAUCGCUAGUAAUCACGUAUCAGAACGACGUGGUGAAUACGUUCCCGGGCCUUGUA